rnacentral:rRNA from 1 species
AGAGUUUGAUCCUGGCUCAGAACGAACGCUGGCGGCAGGCCUAACACAUGCAAGUCGAGCGCCCCGCAAGGGGAGCGGCGGACGGGUGAGUAACGCGUGGGAACGUACCCCUUACUUCGGAAUAGCCUCGGGAAACUGGGAGUAAUACCGAAUGUGCUCUUCGGAGGAAAGAUUUAUCGGUAAGGGAUCGGCCCGCGUUGGAUUAGGUAGUUGGUGGGGUAAUGGCCUACCAAGCCGACGAUCCAUAGCUGGUUUGAGAGGAUGAUCAGCCACACUGGGACUGAGACACGGCCCAGACUCCUACGGGAGGCAGCAGUGGGGAAUCUUAGACAAUGGGCGCAAGCCUGAUCUAGCCAUGCCGCGUGAGCGAUGAAGGCCUUAGGGUUGUAAAGCUCUUUCAGUGGGGAAGAUAAUGACUGUACCCACAGAAGAAGCCCCGGCUAACUCCGUGCCAGCAGCCGCGGUAAUUC